ACCAUCACCUGGCCAAGUUGACACAUAAACGGACCACCAUGGCCACAGUGAGCGGCCACAGCCCACGUGGGCCUCGUGUCACAGCCCCAACACCAACACCUGCCAGGACCUGGGCAACUCCAUCCUGGUGCUGCUGGGCCUCGUCGUCUCUAUCAAUCUUGGCGUCAACACGGCGACCCUGGUCAGGGCAGGGCCAGAAGCCCUCAAGUCCUCUUCACCAGGAAGCGGCACACCUCACAGCCCUCGAGGAAGCAGAGCGCCAAGGACG